rnacentral:sRNA from 1 species
CUUGAAUGAACGGCAUAACUAGGACAACGAGAGCAUUCAUAACC